CCUACGGGAGGCAGCAGUGGGGAAUCUUGCGCAAUGGCCGCAAGGCUGACGCAGCGACGCCGCGUGGGGGAGGAAGGGCUUCGGCUCGUAAACCCCUGUUGCCCGGGACGAACAGCUCUAUUCGUAGAGCCUGACGGUACCGGGUGAGGAAGCACCGGCUAACUCCGUGCCAGCAGCCGCGGUAAUACGGAGGGUGCGAGCGUUGUCCGGAAUCACUGGGCGUAAAGGGCGCGUAGGCGGUUUCUUAAGCGUGUGGUGAAAGCCCGGGGCUCAACCCCGGGUCGGCCGUGCGAACUGGGAGACUCGAGCACUGUAGAGGCGGGUGGAAUUCCGGGUGUAGCGGUGGAAUGCGUAGAGAUCCGGAAGAACACCGGUGGCGAAGGCGGCCCGCUGGGCAGUCUGCUGACGCUGAGGCGCGACAGCGUGGGGAGCAAACAGGA
rnacentral:rRNA from 1 species